rnacentral:tRNA from 1 species
GCCAGAGUAGCUCAGUCGGUAGAGCGCCUCACUUGUAAUGAGGAUGUCGCGGGUUCGACUCCUGUCUCUGGCUCCA